CAAACGCGAAAUGUGUUAUGACAUGCAAUCUUUGAGAAUCAUGAAAUCUUUGAACGCACCUUGUACCCGAGGCGAUUGUCUUGGGUGUGUUUGUUUGAGCAUCGUAUUGACGUCACCGCACACAUGUGGUGGUGGAUUUGAGUGGAUCGAGAAGCUUUGAGCAUCUCGUCACCUGAAAGAGAUACGGGAGGUUAGGGUUAGGCAGGUCUUGGGAUAAUUCCAUCUAGACACAGGCGUAACCCUAGCCCCGUCACACACACACUUACUCGUGAUGGAUCUCAAAUCAAACAGGAUCACCCGCUGAACUUAA
rnacentral:misc_RNA from 1 species